UGCGGGAUGGUGUAACGGUAGCACACAUGACUCUGGAUCAUGUUGUCCUGGUUCGAAUCCAGGUCCCGCAGCCA
rnacentral:tRNA from 1 species